CAGUCGCGUACACCGGCCAACUAGGUGACCGUCGCUCAUUGGUGGAGAGCACGACCUGAGGACAGGCCAUGUGGCAAAACCUUUACUGAUUGGUCAUGGAGGCACCUGCGUCCAGGACCCCGGCACACGGCCUUCCGGCUUGUUUCCAUUCAUUUAGCCGCUUGAUCCUUCCGUGUACCACACUAAUACAGUGCCUGCUGGUGGAGCUAUAGCCCUAUGCCCAGCACCAGUCCUGAAUGCAAACGAUCCGACCUGUCUGCAGCUGCAUUAGGGCUACGGGAUUGUUAGAGGUGCAGAUUGCAUCAGGUGGCUGAUGGAUGUGAGGGCACUCUUCCUGCUUCUUAUUUUUUAAUUUCUCCUGUUCCUAGUAUUCCUAUGUGCACUUUAAAAAUCUGCUUUAGGCCUGGAGUUUGGGGGGCAUACCUUCGAUCCCAGCGCCCGAGAGACAGAGGAAGGCCUGGUCUACAUAUUAAAUUCCAGGACAGCCAGAGAUACGUAGAAAGAGCCUGCCUCAAAAAUACGCUUCAGGCCCCUAGAUGUAUAGCAGUGGUGGGGGAACUUGCUUUGCAUAUGUAAGGCCCUGUAGUUCCAUUUGCAGCGUUCUUCUUGCAGCUCAUGGGGUAUGAAUUCUCUGUCCCUGUGGGACUGGAGAUCUUCUACUCUGAGAGAAAUAGGCAAGACUCCUAGAGAGGUAGGGCCUUGAAAAGAGAAUAUUUGCUGUGGAAAAGACCAAGGAAUGUUAAGAUUUCAUUUAUUUUCUUUGUGGUUCUGGGGAACGAACUCCAGAAGUCUCACCUGCAAAACACUACCCUUGAGCUACAUGGCCCCUAGAUCCUAAAAUUUCUUUCGAAAGAAGGCAAUUGGGCUCUGUGAGUAAAGCAUUUGUCGGCAUGAGGACCUGUUUCCAAACUCAGGUGGGAAGAUGUGAAGCCUAGGCAGAGGAAUCCUCAGAGGAUUAGGACCAAGUACCCUGUAGAGGGAAAGAGAUCCUGCGAUGAACAGCCUAGAUUACAUAGAAUUCCAAACCAGCCAGGGUGACUUAAUGAAAAUCUGUCUUAAACACAAAAAAGUGAAGGAAAGUUAUCCUUAGAUCACCCGAUGUAGCACAUACAUAGCUACACACGUUACUCGGGCUCACGUGUGCGUACAUCAGAUACAUACAUCAGAUACACACUUGUGCACAGAUAUGAAGGGUAAAAGGCAGCUGGGCAUGGUGGCACUCAGCUUUAAUCUUAGCACUUGCCAGCCUGGUCUACAUAGUGAAUUCCGGGAUAAUCUGAGCUACAUAGUGAGACCCUGUCUCAAUAAACAAACAAACAAACAAGGCUUUUGAUCUAAGGGAGGCCAUGAGCAAAGAAGAGAUGGUACUUGUAUUAGGGUUCUCUCGAGUCACAGAACGUAUGGAAUGUCUCUAUAUUGAGGCAAUUUAUUGUGAUCCAAGUCAGAAACUCAAGAUCUUCCAGCCUCAAGAUCGAGAUCACAGCUCCUCUCCUGUUAGCUCUCCCCGCUCGCUCUUCUUUGGACCCACACCAGGUGUUCAGAACCCAUUUUGUUGGCAAGUUCUGCAAGAGUGUGCAAAGUCCUGGUGAAAAAAGAUAAGAGCUUGAAGCCAGACUACAAAGGCAGACACAGCUGGAACCAGUGUCUCACCAAUAGUGCCUGAAUCUCGACAUUGCAAAGAGAUCAGGAUGAGACCUCUUUAGUCCCGAGCCUGGAGGAGAGCAGACUUCAUCAAAGAAGACCCCAGGGGUCACAGGCACGUUGUUGAGUGAAGAUCUUUGCAUCUAUACAGGCAUGCAAGGCAGAAGAAAUGGUGGAGAAUGACAAGCCUGCCAGAACCAUGAUCUCCAGGGCUGUGUAGAGUCCCUUCAAGGUCAGGCUGAGAUACUGAGAUCCUGUUUCAAACAAAAAUGAAAACAAAAACAAACUGAAAGAAAGAGAGAAAUAGGGA
rnacentral:sRNA from 1 species